GAUGAAGAACGUAGUGAAAUGCGAUAAGUAGUGUGAAUUGCAGAAUUCAGUGAAUCAUCGAAUCUUUGAACGCACAUUGCGCCUUCUAGUAUUCUGGGAGGCAUGCCUGUUUGAGCGUCAUUAAACCUCUCUCAAGUAUGAUUACUUGGAUGUGAAGGAAGAGUACCUUAAACUUAAGGAGUGUUCUCCUUUGAAAUUGAUUAGCAGAUGGUAAUGUUAUUAAAUCCCUGAUGUUGUAAGAAAUAACAGUGGUUUUGUAGACUAUUAUCUAGCUUUAAAUUAUAAUUUUUAUUAUGGUUGACCUCAAAUCAGGUAAGGAUACCCGCAGAACUUAAGCAUAUCAAUAAGCGGAGGA
rnacentral:misc_RNA from 1 species